GACGAACGCUGGCGGCGUGCUUAACACAUGCAAGUCGAACGGUGAACUCCGCUUGCGGGGGGAUCAGUGGCGAACGGGUGCGUAACACGUGGGCAACCUUCCCUCAGCUCUGGGAUAACUCCAAGAAAUUGGGGCUAAUGCCGGAACUGACCGCUGACCGCAUGGUCUGGUUGUGAUAAGAUUUAUCGGCUGGGGAUGGGCCCGCGGAGUAUCCGCUUGUUGGUGGGGUAGUUGCCUACCAAGGCGACGACGGGUAGCCGGCCUGAGAGGGUGACCGGCCACACUGGGACUGAGACACGGCCCAGACUCCUACGGGAGGCAGCAGUGGGGAAUACUGCGCAAUGGGCGAAAGCCUGAUGCAGCGACGCCGCGUGUGGGAUGACUGCCUUCGGGUUGUAAACCUCUUUCAGCAGGGACGAAGCGAAAGUGACGGUACCUGCAGAAGAAGCACCGGCCAACUACGUG
rnacentral:rRNA from 1 species